rnacentral:tRNA from 1 species
GGGUGCGUGGGAGAAUUGGUUAAUCCAUCGGGCUGUAAACCCGACGCCCACCAUAGCUUGUUGGUUCGAGUCCAACCGCACAAGC